rnacentral:lncRNA from 1 species
CUUCCUUUUGUGGUCAUAAACCUUGUGUCAAAAUUUCAUAGAUUUCUAUUUACUUAAACAAAAGUUAUAGUGCGAAAACCAAGAAAAUGUUUGUUUGGGCACUUUUUGGGCCCUAAUUCCGAAAAUGUUGGGACCAAAACUCCCAAAAUCAAUCCGUCCUUCCUUUUGUGGUCAUAACCUUUGUUAAAAUUUCAUAGAUUUCUAUUCACUUUUACUAAAGUUAGAGUGCGAAAACUAAAAGUAUUCGGACGACGACGACGCAAGACGACGACGCCAACGUGAUAGCAAUAUACGACGAAAAAUUAAAAUUUUUGCGGUCGUAUAAAAACAUAACACUGAGUAAUGAACCGUGAAAAUGAGGUCAUGGUCAAAUAAAACCUGUGCAACUGACAAAUAGAUCAUAAAAUAUUUCCAUACACCAAAUAUAGUUGACCUAUUGCAAUUAGUAUAAGAAAAAAAGACCAAAACUCAAUAACUUAACUUUGACCACUGAACCAUGAAAAUGAGGUAAAGGUCAGAUGACACCUGCCAGCUAGACAUGUACACCUUUCAAUCAUUCCUUACACCAAAUAUAGCAGACCUAUUGCAUAUUGUAUAAGAAAAAUAGACCAAAACACAAAAACUUCACUAUAACCACUGAACCAUGAAAAUGAGGUCAAGGUCAGAUGACAACUGCCAGUUGGACAUGUACACCUUACAGUCUAAAUACUGAAUAUACUAGACCUAUUGCUUAUAGUAUCUGAGAUAUGGACUUGACCACCAAAACUUAACCUUGUUCACUGAUCCAUGAAAUGAGGUCAAGGUCAAGUCAAAACUGUCUGAUAGGCAUGAGGACCUUGCAAGGUACGCACAUACCAAAUAUAGUUAUCCUUUUACUAAUAAUAAGAGAGAAUUUAACAUAACAAAAAAUCUUAACUUUUUUUUCAAGUAGUCACUGAACAAUGAAAAUGAGGUCAAGGACAUUGGACAUGUGACUGACAGAAACUUGUUACAUGAGGCAUACGUAUACAAAGUAUAAAGCAUCCAGGUCUUCCACCUUCUUAAAUAUAAAGCUUUUAAGAAGUUAGCUAACGCCGCCGCCAGAUCACUAUCCCUAUGUCGAGCUUUCUGCAACAAAAGUUGCAGGCUCCUUAAAAAUAAGCAUAAUUCUCAAAUGAUUUGAAAUACAAAUUUCUAAUAGCUUCUACAGCAAAAAACAUAACAAAAUUAAAUCUGAACAUUAAAACAUAUUUUAUCUAAUUUGCAAAAUAAUUUAAAAAAAUAAAAUAAAUAUUUAUGUUUCUAUUUAAUUAAUUAAGUAAAUGUAGUAUAAUUGCAGAUGAGAAUUUUUAACCAAGGGCCAAAUAAUCAUGAUAAUGUGGACAUUUAACAAUAGGUCACUGUAUGACCAUCACAAAGUGCAAGAAAACCCAUGGUUUGCUAUAAAAGUCUCAAAAUGACAAAUGCAAAACAAUUCAAAUGGGACUAAUAGCAUUGAUUUAUGCACAAAAUAAUUAGACAAAAAACAAAUAUGAUAUGCAGCAGCAACUACCACUGAAUUAAAG